rnacentral:rRNA from 1 species
GAUGAACGCUGGCGGCGUGCUUAACACAUGCAAGUCGAACGAUGAAGCCCAGCUUGCUGGGUGGAUUAGUGGCGAACGGGUGAGUAACACGUGAGUAACCUGCCCUUAACUCUGGGAUAAGCCUGGGAAACUGGGUCUAAUACCGGAUAGGAGCGCCUACCGCAUGGUGGGUGUUGGAAAGAUUUAUCGGUUUUGGAUGGACUCGCGGCCUAUCAGCUUGUUGGUGAGGUAAUGGCUCACCAAGGCGGCGACGGGUAGCCGGCCUGAGAGGGUGACCGGCCACACUGGGACUGAGACACGGCCCAGACUCCUACGGGAGGCAGCAGUGGGGAAUAUUGCACAAUGGGCGAAAGCCUGAUGCAGCGACGCCGCGUGAGGGAUGACGGCCUUCGGGUUGUAAACCUCUUUCAGUAGGGAAGAAGCGAAAGUGACGGUACCUGCAGAAGAAGCACCGGCUAACUACGUG